rnacentral:rRNA from 1 species
AUUGAACGCUGGCGGCAGGCCUAACACAUGCAAGUCGAGCGGAGCGGCGGACGGGUGGGUGAUGUCUAGGAAUCUGCCUGGUCGUGGGGGAUGACGUCCGGAAUGGGGCGCUAAUACCGCAUACUAUCAGAUGAGCCUAGGUGGGAUUAGCUAGUUGGUGGGGUAAAGGCUUACCAAGGCGACGAUCCGUAACUGGUCGUAGAGGAUGAUCAGUCACACUGGAACUGGGACACGGUCCAGACCCCUACGGUGGGAAGCAGUGGGGAAUAUUGGACAAGGGGCGAAAGCCUGACGCAGCCAUGCCGCGUGUGUGAAGAAGGUCUUCGGAUUGUAAAGCAUUUUAAGUUGGGAGGCGUUACCAACAGAAUAAGCACCGGCUAACUUCGUGCCAGCAGCCGCGGUAAUAC